rnacentral:rRNA from 1 species
ACUCAAAUGAAUUGACGGGGACCCGCACAAGCGGUGGAGCGUGUUGUUUAAUUCGACGGUAAGCGAAGAACCUUACCAAGGCUUGACAUCCCUGGAAUAUCUGUGAAAGCAGAUGGUGCCUUCGGGAACCAGGUGACAGGUGAUGCAUGGCCGUCGUCAGCUCGUGUCGUGAGAUGUUUGGUUAAGUCCAUCAACGAGCGCAACCCUUAUAGUCAGUUGAAUUUCUCUGGCUAGACUGCCCCGGUAACGGGGAGGAAGGAGGGGAUGAUGUCAGGUCAUUAUUUCCCUUACGCCUUGGGCCACAAACACGCUACAAUGGCCGGUACAAAGGGCGGCGAACCCGCGAGGGGGAGCAAAUCCCAUCAAAGCCGGUCUCAGUUCGGAUUGUAGGCUGAAACUCGCCUGCAUGAAGCUGGAAUCGCUAGUAACGGUAGGUCAGCACACUACCGUGAAUACGUUCCCGGGUCUUGUACACACCGCCCGU